rnacentral:lncRNA from 1 species
AAGCGUAAUCUAUACCAUAGAAUUUUGAGAUAACAUAUGAGAAGAUGGCUUCAAUAGUAUGCUUUCAGUUAAGAAAAAAAAAAACAAUGGGGUCACCGGACCCGUUUUCUUGCUACAUUAUAAAAUAGGUAAAUUCCUAACACAUUCUAUUGUAAAAGUUCCUUAAUCUGAAUUAUCUGCCCUUGCAUUUGAGUUGCCUCCCCUUAUGUGGCAAAGUUAGAAAAAAAUUGAUCAAACAAAAGUUUUCUGUUUUUUGUAAAAUAUAACCAUAAAUAUGAUAAAACAUGUCAUUUUCUAUAUCGAAGUGGAAGUUCUUACACAUGAAUUACCUACUACUCUAAAAAUUUGCACAUUCUAUUAAAGAUGUAGACCUUGCUUUCUGGUAUUUCCAAA